rnacentral:rRNA from 1 species
GUAAGUUCUUAGUGGCGAACGGGUGAGUAACGCGUGGGCAACCUGCCCUCCAGUUGGGGACAACAUUCCGAAAGGGAUGCUAAUACCGAAUGUGCUCCCUCCUCCGCAUGGAGGAGGGAGGAAAGAUGGCCUCUGCUUGCAAGCUAUCGCUGGAAGAUGGGCCCGCGUCUGAUUAGCUAGUUGGUGGGGUAACGGCUCACCAAGGCGAUGAUCAGUAGCCGGUCUGAGAGGAUGAACGGCCACAUUGGGACUGAGACACGGCCCAAACUCCUACGGGAGGCAGCAGUGGGGAAUCUUCCGCAAUGGACGAAAGUCUGACGGAGCAACGCCGCGUGAGUGAUGAAGGUCUUCGGAUUGUAAAACUCUGUUGUUAGGGACGAAAGCACCGUGUUCGAACAGGUCAUGGUGUUGACGGUACCUAACGAGGAAGCCACGGCUAACUACGUGCCAGCAGCCGCGGUAAUACGUAGGUGGCAAGCGUUGUCCGGAAUUAUUGGGCGUAAAGAGCAUGUAGGCGGGCUUUUAAGUCUGACGUGAAAAUGCGGGGCUUAACCCCGUAUGGCGUUGGAUACUGGAAGUCUUGAGUGCAGGAGAGGAAAGGGGAA